UCUUCGGACCUCGCGCCAUCAGAUGAGCCUGCGUCGGAUUAGCUUGUUGGUGAGGUAAUGGCUCACCAAGGCGACGAUCCGUAGCUGGUCUGAGAGGACGAUCAGCCACACUGGGACUGAGACACGGCCCAGACUCCUACGGGAGGCAGCAGUGGGGAAUAUUGGACAAUGGGCGUUCAAGCCUGAUCCAGCAAUGCCGCCGUGUGUGAAGAAGGCCUUAGGGUUGUAAAGCACUUUCAGUAGGGAAGAAAAGACUUUGGCUUAAUACGCUCGAGUCUUGACGUUACCUACAGAAGAAGCACCGGCUAACUCUGUGCCAGCAGCCGCGGUAA
rnacentral:rRNA from 1 species